rnacentral:rRNA from 1 species
UUCGAGUGGCGGACGGGUGAGUAACGCGUGGGUAACCUGCCUUACACAGGGGGAUAACACCUGGAAACAGGUGCUAAUACCGCAUAAGCGCACAGGGCCGCAUGGCCCGGUGUGAAAAACUCCGGUGGUGUAAGAUGGACCCGCGUCUGAUUAGCUUGUUGGCGGGGUAGAGGCCCACCAAGGCGACGAUCAGUAGCCGGCCUGAGAGGGUGGACGGCCACAUUGGGACCGAGACACGGCCCAAACUCCUACGGAAGGCAGCAG